rnacentral:rRNA from 1 species
AUUGAACGCUGGCGGCAUGCCUUACACAUGCAAGUCGAACGGCAGCACGGGAGCAAUCCUGGUGGCGAGUGGCGAACGGGUGAGUAAUAUAUCGGAACGUGCCCAGUCGUGGGGGAUAACGUAGCGAAAGCUACGCUAAUACCGCAUACGAUCUAUGGAUGAAAGCGGGGGAUCGCAAGACCUCGCGCGAUUGGAGCGGCCGAUAUCAGAUUAGGUAGUUGGUGAGGUAAAGGCUCACCAAGCCGACGAUCUGUAGCUGGUCUGAGAGGACGACCAGCCACACUGGGACUGAGACACGGCCCAGACUCCUACGGGAGGCAGCAGUGGGGGAAUUUUGGACAAUGGGCGCAAGCCUGAUCCAGCAAUGCCGCGUGCAGGAUGAA